AAUACUGUGUGCGAGCGUGUUUUUUUUUUUUAAUUUUGCCAAUUUAAGCUUAGGAAUGUUGUAUGGUUAAGUUUGCAUGAUUUUUUUUUUUUUGAAAUUUGCUAAACCAGUUUGUAUUUUGUUGCGAUGAUGUGAUGUGCCAGAGUAUUUGUGUUAAAAUAAAACAAAAAAACAAGAACAAGAAAAACAAGCAAUAACCGCAACCAGAGAACCAACCAACUCCAAACCACUCACACACAUAUGUAAACAAUUUUUAGCUGGCUGGCUGGCUGCCGUGUUUUUUGUGGUACAGUGGGUCGUUGGCUGCUCAACGGACGAAGACCCAUCGAUGAGGGGACAAAAUUCCAACAAUGCCUGCUGGUUUUCUAGCCAACUUCCAAAUAGAAAAAUCAAGCCAACACUAGUCACAGGGAAAAAAAGAACAACACGACAAAAUAAUAAAAACAAAACAAUCACACAUAACCUACAACAAUACAAACAACAACAACAACAACGGUGGGGAGUCAAAUCAACAACCAAGCCAGCCGCCUCAACUUAUUUUGUGUCUUUCCCUCUCUCUCGAGAGAGGGAGAAAAACAGUGCUGAGCACAUUGCGCAGAGUUUCUGUUUUCAUUUGUGGCCCAUGCUGGUGUUAGCUGCUCUCAAGCUGUAAGGGGCCGCAAAAAUUCAAAAACAAAAAAAAAAAUAUAGCCUCUGGUGUUGCUCACAGCUCUCCAAGAGCUGUUUUGCCAUUCAUUUCAAUCCGUCGUGGCAAUCGGUUAAAAUCAGCGCGUAGCGAGGCUUGACAUUAACAAUUGUUAAAAUUCUCAAAAAAAAAAAAAAAAAAAAAGAAAAAAACAUAAAUGCAAAACGCAAAAAAGAAACAAUGUUUUUAUUAACAUUAAUUAAAACCAGUUUCAAACAAUAAUUAACGAAAAUUCACUUUAUGCUGUCUAAACUUCGAACAACAUUGUAAACACUGGAUGGAGAGAAGUAUCUGGUAAUGAUCAAACCGAAACCGAAGCAACACCGGCCAUAAAGCUUACAAACUAAAAUCAACAACAACAACAACAACCACAACAACGGUUACAAGUCUAACAACUCGAUUCAGUCCAGAGCAACGCUUGGAAAAGAACAGUGUGUGCAAAGAUCAAAUCAAUCGCCGUCAUCAACGUGUAUAGAAGCUAGAAAUACAAAACAAAAAAAGAACGGAGAAAGAAAGAAACAAACAAAAAAGCAUAACGUAUUUUACCAACAACAAAUUAUCCCCCUCCGAAAAAAGUACAACUUGUACGGAGCAGACAGCCCAAAAAUAAACUCAAAGUUUACCUUGAUUUCUUUUCUUCUUUGAUAUUUUCCGGUUUCUAAAGGUGGUGUAGAAGUAAACGCGAACGUUCUGUUUUUUCUUCUUCUUUUUUACGCGCGAUCACCUGGAAUUUUUCGUCAAACAAAUUGUAUUGUUGACUACGACAACAAAAAAUCGAAAAAUUACAAAGAAAAAAUAAAGUGUGUGCGUGUGUUCGUAAACCUUUCUACUCCGACAAUUUCUGCAACCUCAUCACCGAACAUCUGAAAAGGAUUUCUGCCUUGUCUUCAAGAAAUAAGGGAGAGUCAAAUAACUGUUGCCGCUACCUAAUAUUGGAGUAGAGCUUUUCUUUUCUUUUUUUUGGCGGUUCCACAGAAAAUCAUUCACGCUGGAUUUGGGAUAUUACGAAGCUGUUAAAGGUAAUUUUUCCAAAAUAUUCUGAAGCAUGUUUUGUAAGUAUUAUUCUGUGAAAAAUAUUGUGAUUUGACUCUCUUAGUAUUUGCCAGCAAACAUAGUUGUCUGUUGGACUUACUGGCCGACCUUAUAUAGAC